ensembl:lncRNA
GUGAUCGUAAGGAGGUCACCUGUGCAGACAGGUGUAGAGACAAAAUCAAACUUCCUGCACAGCUCUGUCUCUCAGUGUGCUCUGCUUCCCUUCAGCAGCAUCAGAUUUUACUGGAGUACAGACACUAUUUACAAUCUGCAGAGGGGCCAACAAACAAGAUGGACCACUUCCUGUUUACAGCCAGGCUUUGGCGAGCCGCCGCCUCCAGUAAGGUGUCUACAUCACAGACAGUCAAAGAGGAGUGAACCCAGCAGGUGAGUCAGAUGAAGUGAGACGUCUGCAGCUGCAACAUUAGCGACUUUGUGCUAUGCUAAGCUAUCAGCACUUCUAGCUCCGCCCUCUGACAAACACCUGGAGUUUGUGCACAAGUAACUGGGCACAUGGACGCAGCUAUGACCAGGACACACACCUAUGGAGGCGGGCCCAGUGGAUGAGCCUCUGAUUGCAUCACCGGAGCAUCAUGUGCACGUUUCACUGCUGCUGCCAGAGCAGCCAAUCACAGCUCAGUAUUCACUGUGACAUCAAAGAACCAGUGCUCGGCUCACGUGCACACUCCUGGUUCGGAGUUAAUCCACCACACGCGCGUUAAUCCUUACAUGUGAGCGAGUGUCACAACGACAAUUACGUUCACGUGUAAAAAUCCGCUGUUCCAUCGCGUCCUGCGUCACGUUUCUCCUGGUGCAUUUGUUCCCGUGCAGACAGAUUAUGAUGGCAUCUCUGUGAGCGCUUCGGCUCGCCAAGAAAACUGCAAAAAGUUUCAUAGUGACCUUUGUGUGAUGGCGAGGGCAGCAUUUAAAUGCACGCCAUCACACAACGGUGACUAAGACAGUUCAUGUCAGGGUUUGAUGCCAAUAACACAUCCAGAGUGGCGUCCUGCGAUGCUUUACAUUACUGUCACAUGUCGAAGCCGUGACGAACGUUCUUAACGUGACCAAACAAGUGAAGCUGCAGCGGCACGAAACACCUGAACACAUGACCUCGUGCUGAACGGGAAGAGGAACGUAAGAAUGGCGGCGCACGCUCUGAGGGUCAGGAACAUCUUCGAAAUAGUUCACGCACACCGGAGGAUGAUGAAGACGAUGUGAGGAGGAGGAGUCUGUCUAU